rnacentral:rRNA from 1 species
GACGAACGCUGGCGGCGUGCCUAACACAUGCAAGUCGAACGGGGUAAUUCCUUCGGGGAUUACUUAGUGGCGAACGGGUGAGUAACGCGUGAGAAACCUGCCUUUCAGUGGGGGACAACAGUUAGAAAUGACUGCUAAUACCGCAUAAUGUUAUUUGGGGGCAUCCCUGAAUAACCAAAGCUUUAUGUGCUGAAAGAUGGUCUCGCGUCUGAUUAGCUAGAUGGCGGGGUAACGGCCCACCAUGGCGACGAUCAGUAGCCGGUCUGAGAGGAUGAACGGCCACAUUGGGGCUGGGAUACGGCCCAGACUCCUUCGGGAGGCAGCAGUGGGGAAUAUUGGGCAAUGGGGGAAACCCUGACCCAGCAACGCCGCGUGAAGGAAGAAGGCCUUCGGGUUGUAAACUUCUUUUAGCAGGGACGAAGAACGUGACGGUACCUGCAGAAAAAGCAACGGCUAACUACGUGCCAGCAGCCGCGGUAAUAC